rnacentral:tRNA from 1 species
GCCUUCUUGGCCAAGCGGUAAGGCGUCGCACUCGUAUUGAAUUUAAGUACUAUAAGUAAUUAAUUCAUACAAGUUAUGCGAAGAUCGACGGUUCGAUUCCGUCAGGAGGCA